CCUACGGGUGGCAGCAGUGAGGAAUAUUGGUCAAUGGACGAGAGUCUGAACCAGUCAAGUAGCGUGAAGGAUGACUGCCCUAUGGGUUGUAAACUUCUUUUAUAAAGGAAUAAAACGAGGCACGUGUGCCUUUUUGCAUGUACUUUAUGAAUAAGGAUCGGCUAACUCCGUGCCAGCAGCCGCGGUAAUACGGAGGAUCCGAGCGUUAUCCGGAUUUAUUGGGUUUAAAGGGAGCGUAGAUGGGUUGUUAAGUCAGUUGUGAAAGUUUGCGGCUCAACCGUAAAAUUGCAAUUGAUACUGGCAGUCGUGAGUACAGUUGAGGUAGGCGGAAUUCGUGGUGUAGCGGUGAAAUGCUUAGAUAUCACGAAGAACCCCGAUUGCGAAGGCAGCUUACUAAACUGUGACUGACAUUGAUGCUCGAAAGUGUGGGUAUCAAACAGGAUUAGAUACCCGGGUAGUC
rnacentral:rRNA from 1 species